AAUGUCAGUCCGGGUUCAAACUAUGUUUACAAGUUUCAUAUUUCUAUCUAUUUGCUUAAAUAUUACGGAGACUUUUUGGUCGUAUCAUUGUGCUGCUUAGCCAUUAUAACUGUUUAUUGAACUCGUUAAGGGAAGUUUUCUGUUUUUGCAAUUGAGAUAAUCUAUUAUAAUCAUCAUCACUAAGUAAGCUUUGACAUUCUACCGACAUGAAGUAUAACAAAACUGCUAACAUGGCGAUGUAUAAUUCAUUGUAAUACAAAUGCACGUUAUUUUCUUCCUAAAUCGUACGUUGACAAAGUUUUUAAGCUUCAAGAUGUAUAGAAAUGAAUGCUUGAAAGUUAUGUUUAGAGAAUAUUUGGGAUAAAAUUCCUUCAAAAUGACCUGAUGUUUUGUCCUCGUCAUGACCUCAAGAAAUAUCAUAUUUCUUCCUCGAAAUGUGCUCUCUUUUACAACCAAAAAUGGCAAUGUUCAAACGAAAUGAAGAUUUGCAGUUUAAUGCGAGAUGGCAUUGCAGAGCGUGGAGGUCUCCGUGUUGGUCAUAAAAUCAUAGAAAUGAAUAGAGAAAGUGUCGUUACAGCCUCUCAUCGUAUUGUUGAUGUUCUACAAACAACUAUUGGAGAGGUGAUGGUCACAUAUACUCUUUAAUCAAACCAUUUAUUCGUGGCGUUAGAAAGAUCAAAGAUGAAAUAAUGAAGAGUUACCGCAGC